rnacentral:rRNA from 1 species
GACGAACGCUGGCGGCGUGCUUAACACAUGCAAGUCGAACGGAAAGGCCCUGCUUUUGUGGGGUGCUCGAGUGGCGAACGGGUGAGUAACACGUGAGUAACCUGCCCUUGACUUUGUGAUAACUUCAGGAAACUGGGGCUAAUACCGGAUAGGAUCUCCUGCUGCAUGGUGGGGGUUGGAAAGUUUCGGCUGUUGUGGAUGGACUCGCGGCUUAUCAGCUUGUUGGUGUGGUAGUGGCUUACCAAGGCUUUGACGGGUAGCCGGCCUGAGAGGGUGACCGGCCACAUUGGGACUGAGAUACGGCCCAGACUCCUACGGGAGGCAGCAGUGGGGAAUAUUGCACAAUGGGCGGAAGCCUGAUGCAGCAACGCCGCGUGCGGGAUGACGGCCUUCGGGUUGUAAACCGCUUUCGCCUGUGACGAAGCGUGAGUGACGGUAAUGGGUAAAGAAGCACCGGCUAACUACGUG